rnacentral:tRNA from 1 species
UGGGGUUGUGGCUCAGUGGUAGAGUGCUUGCCUAGCAUGCAUGAGGCACUGGGUAUGAUCCCCAGCACCACAA